ACUUGGCAUUGACAUAUUUGGACUAGGAUUUGUCACAUCUCUUGUUUUUGUAUUCUUAGUUGGAGUUUUUGUUUCAUCCUGGCUGGGUGCUACUGUUUUUUGGAUUGGGGAAUGGAUUAUUAAACGAAUGCCAUUUGUCAGACACUUAUAUUCGGCUUCAAAGCAGAUCAGUUCUGCAGUGUCUCCAGAUCAAAACACCACCGCUUUUAAGGAAGUGGCAAUUAUUCGUCAUCCCCGUGUGGGGGAAUAUGCUUUUGGUUUUAUAACAUCAUCAGUUACCCUUCAGACAGAAGAAGGGGAUGAAGAAUUGUAUAGUGUUUUUGUCCCUACAAACCAUUUGUACAUUGGUGAUGUACUCCUGGUUAACGCCAAUGAUGUCAUAAAACCAAACAUGUCCAUCCGUGAAGGCAUUGAGAUCAUUGUUUCCGGAGGAAUGACCAUGCCUCAAAGGAUCUCUCAUGUGGCAAGAGUUGCGCGACAAAGUGAAAGAAUUCCACUGAACAGAAUUAAGUAAAAAUAGUGAUGAACAUGACAAUGUAGGACGGUUUGUAAUUAGUCAAGGAGGGAAAGAAAAAUCAUAUAUACAUUGCUGUAAUUUUUCGGAUCGAUCCGAUAUAUGUUGUAUUAUGUCUCUGUUCUGAAGAUACAGUAAAGUUCUCGUUGAAGGUUUAAAUUCAUGUCCAUCUCAGGCAAUCAAACAGAUAUAUCCAGUUAUCAUGUUGUCCCAACAUGGGUGAAUGUAAAAAUA
rnacentral:misc_RNA from 1 species